CAGGCUUAACACAUGCAAGUCGAGGGGCAGCAUGGUCUUAGCUUGCUAAGGCCGAUGGCGACCGGCGCACGGGUGAGUAACACGUAUCCAACCUGCCGUCUACUCUUGGACAGCCUUCUGAAAGGAAGAUUAAUACAAGAUGGCAUCAUGAGUCCGCAUGUUCACAUGAUUAAAGGUAUUCCGGUAGACGAUGGGGAUGCGUUCCAUUAGAUAGUAGGCGGGGUAACGGCCCACCUAGUCUUCGAUGGAUAGGGGUUCUGAGAGGAAGGUCCCCCACAUUGGAACUGAGACACGGUCCAAACUCCUACGGGAGGCAGCAGUGAGGAAUAUUGGUCAAUGGGCGAGAGCCUGAACCAGCCAAGUAGCGUGAAGGAUGACUGCCCUAUGGGUUGUAAACUUCUUUUAUAAAGGAAUAAAGUCGGGUAUGGAUACCCGUUUGCAUGUACUUUAUGAAUAAGGAUCGGCUAACUCCGUGCCAGCAGCCGCGGUAAUACGGAGGAUCCGAGCGUUAUCCGGAUUUAUUGGGUUUAAAGGGAGCGUAGAUGGAUGUUUAAGUCAGUUGUGAAAGUUUGCGGCUCAACCGUAAAAUUGCAGUUGAUACUGGAUAUCUUGAGUGCAGUUGAGGCAGGCGGAAUUCGUGGUGUAGCGGUGAAAUGCUUAGAUAUCACGAAGAACUCCGAUUGCGAAGGCAGCCUGCUAAGCUGCAACUGACAUUGAGGCUCGAAAGUGUGGGUAUCAAACAGGAUUAGAUACCCUGGUAGUCCACACGGUAAACGAUGAAUACUCGCUGUUUGCGAUAUACAGCAAGCGGCCAAGCGAAAGCGUUAAGUAUUCCACCUGGGGAGUACGCCGGCAACGGUGAAACUCAAAGGAAUUGACGGGGGCCCGCACAAGCGGAGGAACAUGUGGUUUAAUUCGAUGAUACGCGAGGAACCUUACCCGGGCUUAAAUUGCAGAUGAAUUACGGUGAAAGCCGUAAGCCGCAAGGCAUCUGUGAAGGUGCUGCACGGUUGUCGUCAGCUCGUGCCGUGAGGUGUCGGCUUAAGUGCCAUAACGAGCGCAACCCUUGUUGUCAGUUACUAACAGGUUCCGCUGAGGACUCUGACAAGACUGCCAUCGUAAGAUGUGAGGAAGGUGGGGAUGACGUCAAAUCAGCACGGCCCUUACGUCCGGGGCUACACACGUGUUACAAUGGGGGGUACAGAGGGCCGCUACCACGCGAGUGGAUGCCAAUCCCCAAAACCUCUCUCAGUUCGGACUGGAGUCUGCAACCCGACUCCACGAAGCUGGAUUCGCUAGUAAUCGCGCAUCAGCCACGGCGCGGUGAAUACGUUCCCGGGCCUUGUACACACCGCCCGUCAAGCCAUGGGAGCCGGGGGUACCUGAAGUGCGUAACCGCGAGGAGCGCCCUAGGGUAAAACUGGUGACUGGGGCU
rnacentral:rRNA from 1 species